rnacentral:rRNA from 1 species
UACGGGGGGGGCAAGCGUUGUUCGGAAUUACUGGGCGUAAAGGGCGCGUAGGCGGCCAUCUAAGUCAGACGUGAAAUCCCCAGGCUUAACCUGGGAACUGCGUCUGAUACUGGAAGGCUUGAGUUCGGGAGAGGGAUGUGGAAUUCCAGGUGUAGCGGUGAAAUGCGUAGAUAUCUGGAGGAACACCGGUGGCGAAGGCGGCAUCCUGGACCGAAACUGACACUGAGGCGCGAAAGCCAGGGGAGCAAACGGG